GCCGGGCGUGGUGGCGCACGCCUGUAGUCCCAGCUACUCGGGAGGCUGAGGUGGGAGGAUCGCUUGAGUCCAGGAGUUCUGGGCUGCAGUGCGCUAUGCCGAUCGGGUGUCCGCACUAAGUUCGGCAUCAAUAUGGUGACCUCCCGGGAGCAGGGGACCACCAGGUUGCCUAAGGAGGGGUGAACCGGCCCAGGUCGGAAACGGAGCAGGUCAAAACUCCCGUGCUGAUCAGUAGUGGGAUCGCGCCUGUGAAUAGCCACUGCACUCCAGCCUGGGCAAUAUAGUGAGACCCUGUCUCU
rnacentral:SRP_RNA from 1 species